GACGAACGCUGGCGGCGUGCUUAACACAUGCAAGUCGAACGGAAAGGCCCUGCUUUUGUGGGGUGCUCGAGUGGCGAACGGGUGAGUAACACGUGAGUAACCUGCCCUUGACUUUGGGAUAACUUCAGGAAAUUGGGGCUAAUACCGGAUAGGAGCUCCUGCUGCAUGGUGGGGGUUGGAAAGUUUCGGCGGUUGGGGAUGGACUCGCGGCUUAUCAGCUUGUUGGUGGGGUAGUGGCUUACCAAGGCUUUGACGGGUAGCCGGCCUGAGAGGGUGACCGGCCACAUUGGGACUGAGAUACGGCCCAGCCUCCUACGGGAGGCAGCAGUGGGGAAUAUUGCACAAUGGGCGGAAGCCUGAUGCAGCAACGCCGCGUGCGGGAUGACGGCCUUCGGGUUGUAAACCGCUUUCGCCUGUGACGAAGCGUGAGUGACGGUAAUGGGUAAAGAAGCACCGGCUAACUACGUG
rnacentral:rRNA from 1 species